AUACGUAGGUGGCAAGCGUUGUCCGGAAUUACUGGGUGUAAAGGGCGUGUAGGCGGGGAUGCAAGUCAGAUGUGAAAUUCCGGGGCUCAACCCCGGCACUGCAUCUGAAACUGUGUCUCUUGAGUGCUGGAGAGGAAAGCGGAAUUCCUAGUGUAGCGGUGAAAUGCGUAGAUAUUAGGAGGAACACCAGUGGCGAAGGCGGUGUUCUGGACAGUAACUGACGCUGAGGCGCGAAAGCGUGGGUAGCGAACAGGAUUAGAUACCCUGGUAGUCCACGCCGUAAACGAUGGAUACUAGGUGUAGGAGGUAUCGACCCCUUCUGUGCCGGAGUUAACACAAUAAGUAUCCCACCUGGGGAGUACGGCCGCAAGGUUGAAACUCAAAUGAAUUGGCGGGG
rnacentral:rRNA from 1 species